AUUUUUGAGAUUCUCCCCACAUUAGACUGUUGAAUCAUUCGUAUUUAACAUCAGCGCCAGAAGUUGCAUUAACUUUAAUUGCUAUCACGGCUUAUACAACACGCAAGUUUUAAUCCCCAACUCGAAAAGGAAAAUUGCACCAUGAGAGUUUUCUUUGCUUUUUGCAUCAUACUGAUAUGUUUGUCGGGGUUUGAUCAUACUGAUGCAGCUGUUAAAUGCUUCAAAACUUACUGUAUGAACAAUGAUGGUUGCAGAUUUGGAUGUUUCGCCCGUGGUUGUGGUUACAAACAUUCCUGCAAUGUUGAAGAUCGGCGAUGCUGCUGUGAUGGAUGUAUCUCCGAUGCUGGUUAAUUCGGCACUUUAAAUAUUGUCAAGUGCCGAGAAUGUGUUUAUUCGUGCAUAUAAGAUUAUAACAUUAGUCUACGAUUAAAAAGUUUGGGCAUUUUGA